rnacentral:rRNA from 1 species
UACGGAGGAGGCAAGCGUUAUCCGGAAUUAUUGGGCGUAAAGAGUCCGUAGAUGGUUUUGUCAGUCUGCUGUCAAAGCACAGGGCUUAACCCUGUAAAGGCAGUGGAAACUACAAGACUAGAGUGCAGUAGGGGCAGAGGGAAUUCCCAGUGUAGCGGUGAAAUGCGUAGAGAUUGGGAAGAACAUCCGUGGCGAAAGCGCUCUGCUGGACUGCAACUGACAUUGAGGGACGAAAGCUAGGGGAGCGAAUGGG